GUUUUCUGGAGUUUAAAAAAAUAUAUGUCUGACAGAGAAAAGAGUAGGCAGCAGGCAAACACAUAUGGAAGCCAGUCUUCCCCUGAGAUGUCUGCAAGCCUGCUGUACUAGCUCUCUGCAUUCAUCUCUUCUUGAACAUAAAGAACGGUCGCUAAACGCUAACGCUAACGCUAACUAGCGAGACACGGUCAACGACAGGGUAGUCGGACUAUGACAGAGAGCUUAAUCCUCCUUGGAGGACACAGAGUAAGACCCAGGGCCAAGGGAAAAGAGGCAGCAGUCGGGGGAGGCUGGCUACUCCGUACUCUGACUAAAUUACUUCCGGCGCCGACAGAGAUGGCCGCCUCGCUUCGCGUUCCAAGGAAACUAUGCAGUAUUUAUUUUUUUUACGUGUUAUUUUGUACAUUGGUACCCCACGUAAUCUUAGGUUUUAUUACGUACAGUCGGGAGGAACUAUUGGAUAUAAGAGCAACGUCAACUCACCAUCAUUAUGACCAGGAAUACGACUUUCCCGAAGCGGAUCCUCUGUUUUUCCCACCACCAGGGACAAUGGAUCGAAUCAAACCAAAACAACAACCCCCGUAAAAGGGGCAGACGAAGCGGUCUUCUAGUCAGGCUCCGGAGACAGGCACAUCGCGCACCGCUCCCGAGCAUACUACUCGCCAAUGUCCAGUCUCCUGACAACAAGGUUGAUGAAAUACGAGCAAGGGCAGCAUUCCAGAGAGACAUAUAUAACUAGCAUUCUUUGCUUCACGGAAACAUGGCUCACUUGAGACACGCUAUCGGAGUCGGUACAGCCACCUGGUUUCUUCACCCAUCACGCCGACAGAAACAAGCAUCUUUCUGACUCACAAGACUCUGUGGAGAGGUGGGGCACCAGGACAAAGUCAUCCGUGUCGCUGGAAGAGUUCUUGCUGCUGGUGCUUCCUCCAGACUCCUUAGACAGCUGCAGGUAGUUUGGAGGGCCCAGGGGGGGCGAUGACAGACAGUCCUCAGAGUGCGAGCUGAUCAAGGGUUCGAAAAUGUGGAUAUUGCCAGAUGUUCACUGUUCGAGGAACAGGCCGUAGAAGCCUUAUUGUUGGCAAAAGUGUCCAUAACCAGAGGUAAGUAAACUGUUCUGUGUUCUUUUUCGCUCUUCCUCUGUGCCUGUCUUGUUGUACAUGGAACCUGUCUCACAUGCAUUAAUUAAAAAAUGCUUAAGAUGUCAGCUGCUAAUUUUCAGAUUUACACCACAAACACUUAGCCAUUUUCACUGGACUGUCAAGCCCGUUGAUGCCAAAUUUAUAUCAUCACUAAUACAGAUUUGUUUCUUUUGAGCAUUCCAGAUUCAGCAGGUGGAGGACCUGCUUUAUUAGGAAGAUAAUCUGGAAACACUGACAAUGGGUCAUUGUUUCUGAUAUCCCAUGCCCCGUCUACUGAGAAUCUUGCUGUGCUCCAACGUCAAGUAAACCCUACCAAUGACUCAUCUUUUGGUCAGGACAUAUGCAUGCAUGCUCUUCGAUUAGUAUUGAGUCUCCAACCUUUUCAGAUGCAGUCCUCCCACAUUAUAUAGGAUAUUGUUUUAGCCCCAGUGCCACUCUUGAUAAUGGCAAACAUUUGUAUUUUUUGGAGGAGGGUGAAAGGAUAGCAGGCCCAGCUGUCAAAGUGAGAGGGGAGGCUAUUCUGGAUAGAGCGGGUACUUGUGUGUAGUCUAUUUCUUGUGAGCUUUUCUGUCCUCAGAUACAGAGAGCUGUGAAAGCCUGUCUGCAGAUUAAGAGGUCCCAAUGAAGAGCAGGGGUUUUCAGUCCUGGUGCUGGGGACUCAAAACGUUUGUUUGUGCCUUGGCACUACACAGCUGAUUCAAAUGAUCAAGUCACCAUCAAGCUUCAAAUGGUAUGUUUUGAUGUGAGAGAGGAAGACCCGAGGAAAUCCCGUCAGCGCCGCCUCACCCGCUCUUAAGAUAAUCUUCGGGCCGACUGGGAGUCCAAGGCUGGUUAGAAAACACAGCUAGAGACACUAUGUAAUUGUGAUGAACUGAGAGAAUAUUAGCCUAUAUAUUAGCCUAUAGCCUAUCCUCUGUUUUACCUCUCUCCCCACCUCUUUUUUGUAUUUAUAAUGAAUGUAUUAUGUAUUCACAUUCUCCACUGGUUGAAAUUAAGUAUCUCUUUAAGAUACUACACCAAUCCUGUGUCCUCAGAUUAAUGCAGAUGAAGGGAGUUAGAUUUGCAUAGGUGUAUUUCUGUAUAUAUGAUUUACAAAUCAGCAAAUCAUGUUUCUAGUCUUUUGAAUAGAUACAAUGUGUAAUCAUUGAUAUCCCAGGAGCGGUAAACACUGUUGAAGUGCAUAACUGUAAUACAUACAUGCAGACACAGCAUCAUUCAAAGAAUGGAGUUUGAUACACCUGGUAUUGGAUAUGAGUGAAAAAGAAUGUCGCUCAGAGAUUCAUACUUGAACCGCACCCUUAUUUGCCAAGGAAGAGUACAUGAUCAGUGAAUGUAUUCAAUGUACAGGCUACAAUGUGGGGAUCUGAUGCAUGGUAAUAACUACUGUACAUGUAUAUUGGACUUGCAUCCUUGGCACAAUAAAGUUAUUAUAUUCUACUCAA